GAACGGAAAUAUUUCGUGGUAUUUGCCUCGUUAAUUCCAUACCCAUAAAAGCUGCAACGAUCAUAUAAAAUUUCACAGUUCAUCAAUUCCAACAUUUUGGAAAUCCUUUACAGCCACAAGCAGAAAUAACAGAAAUCUGUAAACAUGAAGUUGGUUUUUCUUUUCACUGUUUGCGUUAUCCUGAUCGCAUUCAUUGCCACACCCUCUUUUGGCAUCCCAAUGGAACAAAAUUUUCGUCAAGAGAGGAAAGAGGACCCGCAUGCGCAGAGGAUUAACGUUCGUCCACCAAAUCCCCCACCAAACCCACCAGCCCCCAAUCGUGCCCAACCACCGCCACCUGGCCCACCGCCAAAUCGCCCACUUCCUCCAGUACCCCAACCAAGGCCUGAUUCUCCAACAUUGGGACAUCAUUAAAGAUUCUCAGGAUCUUAUUCAAAAAAUUCAACUAUUAAAAUUCAACUCCUGAAAAUAUAAACAUGUUUCAACUACAUAUACAAAGAAAUAAAUCAAAUAUAAUCCAGA